CCUACGGGUGGCAGCAGUGAGGAAUAUUGGUCAAUGGACGAGAGUCUGAACCAGCCAAGUAGCGUGAAGGAUGACUGCCCUAUGGGUUGUAAACUUCUUUUAUAUGGGAAUAAAAUGUUCCACGUGUGGGAUUUUGUAUGUACCAUAUGAAUAAGGAUCGGCCAACUCCGUGCCAGCAGCCGCGGUAAUACGGAGGAUCCGAGCGUUAUCCGGAUUUAUUGGGUUUAAAGGGAGCGUAGGUGGAUUGUUAAGUCAGUUGUGAAAGUUUGCGGCUCAACCGUAAAAUUGCAGUUGAAACUGGCAGUCUUGAGUACAGUAGAGGUGGGCGGAAUUCGUGGUGUAGCGGUGAAAUGCUUAGAUAUCACGAAGAACUCCGAUUGCGAAGGCAGUUCACUGGACUGCAACUGACACUGAGGCUCGAAAGUGUGGGUAUCAAACAGGAUUAGAUACCCGUGUAGUC
rnacentral:rRNA from 1 species